AAAGAUUAGAACUUUGAAUUUCCAGAUCUGAAAUAAAAUCCCCAAAUCAGCAAAGAAUCAAAUUGAGAAUAGAAAUAAGUGUUAGGGUUCUUGAAACCCUCAAGGAGAUUAUGAUUCUGCCCAAUUGAACACCAAGAUAGUUUUCCCCAAAUUUCGACAAUCUAAUUUCACCCAAAAAGAGUAUGGAAAAACCCUAGAAAUUGGGGAUUUUUGGGCUGAUUCCUUAAGAUAGAAAAAGGCUGAAAACACAAUAAGAACAGAAAAUAGAUUAGAUAAUGAUUCAGCACAAGUAGAAAUAAAGAAAGAAUUGACAGUAAGAAAUUAAAAGAUAAGUCCUAAGAAGCCUUGAAAUCUCGAAAGAUCUCACAACUCCCUUCAAACGGCUCUAAUCUCCCCUCCAAAGAAUAUCAAUGGCAAGAAGAAGGUUGAAGAUGGC
rnacentral:lncRNA from 1 species